rnacentral:tRNA from 1 species
GCUGUGGCUUAGUGGUAGGGCAUCUGCUUUGCAUGCAGAAGGUUUCGGGUUCAAUUCCUGGUGUCUCCA